rnacentral:rRNA from 1 species
AUUGAACGCUGGCGGCAGGCCUAACACAUGCAAGUCGAACGAGUGGCGGACGGGUGAGUAAUGUCUGGGAAACUGCCCGAUGGAGGGGGAUAACUACUGGAAACGGUAGCUAAUACCGCAUACCAUCGGAUGUGCCCAGAUGGGAUUAGCUAGUAGGUGGGGUAACGGCUCACCUAGGCGACGAUCCCUAGCUGGUCUGAGAGGAUGACCACCCACACUGUAACUGAUACACGGUCAAGACUCCUCCGGGAGGCGGCAGUGGGGAAUAUUGCACAAUGGGCGCAAGCCUGAUGCAGCCAUGCCGCGGGUAUGAAGAAGGCCUUCGGGUUGUAAAGUCCUUUCAGCGAGGAGGCGUUACUCGCAGAAGAAGCACCGGCUAACUCCGUGCCAGCAGCCGCGGUAAUAC